UUGAACGCUGGCGGCAUGCCUUACACAUGCAAGUCGAACGGCAGCACGGGAGCAAUCCUGGUGGCGAGUGGCGAACGGGUGAGUAAUAUAUCGGAACGUGCCCAAUCGUGGGGGAUAACGCAGCGAAAGUUGUGCUAAUACCGCAUAAGAUCUACGGAUGAAAGCGGGGGAUCGCAAGACCUCGCGCGAGUGGAGCGGCCGAUAUCAGAUUAGCUAGUUGGUGGGGUAAAGGCCCACCAAGGCGACGAUCUGUAGCUGGUCUGAGAGGACGACCAGCCACACUGGGACUGAGACACGGCCCAGACUCCUACGGGAGGCAGCAGUGGGGAAUUUUGGACAAUGGGCGCAAGCCUGAUCCAGCAAUGCCGCGUGCAGGAUGAAGGCCUUCGGGUUGUAAACUGCUUUUGUACGGAGCGAAAAGGUCUGCCCUAAUACGGUGGGCUCAUGACGGUACCGUAAGAAUAAGCACCGGCUAACUACGU
rnacentral:rRNA from 1 species